rnacentral:rRNA from 1 species
GGCUCAGGAUGAACGCUGGCGGCGUGCUUAAUACAUGCAAGUCGAACGAAGCACUUAUGACAGAUCCCCUCGGGGUGAAGACGUUUGUGACUGAGUGGCGGACGGGUGAGUAACGCGUGGGUAACCUGCCUUAUGCAGGGGGACAACAGUUGGAAACGACUGCUAAUACCGCAUAAGCGCACGGCACCGCAUGGUGCAGUGUGAAAAGAUUUAUCGGCAUAAGAUGGACCCGCGUCUGAUUAGGUAGUUGGUGAGGUAACGGCCCACCAAGCCGACGAUCAGUAGCCGACUUGAGAGAGUGAUCGGCCACAUUGGGACUGAGACACGGCCCAGACUCCUACGGGAGGCAGCAGUAGGGAAUAUUGCACAAUGGGGGAAACCCUGAUGCAAGCGACGCCGCGUGAGUGAUGAAGUAUUUCGGUACGUAAAGCUCUAUCAGCAGGGAAGAUAAUGACGGUACCUGACUAAGAAGCCCCGGCUAACUACGUGCCAGCAGCCGC